rnacentral:tRNA from 1 species
CGUCCACCAAUGGCCCCGACGACCACAACGGCCAACAAGUUG